rnacentral:rRNA from 1 species
ACGGUGUAGCGGUGAAAUGCGUAGAUAUCGUAAGGAAGACCAGUGGCGAAGGCGGGUCUCUGGACAGUUCCUGACGCUGAGGCACGAAGGCCAGGGGAGCAAACGGGAUUAGAUACCCCGGUAGUCCUGGCAGUAAACGGUGCACGUUUGGUGUGGGAGGAUUCGACCCCUUCUGCGCCGGAGCUAACGCGUUAAACGUGCCGCCUGGGGAGUACGGUCGCAAGAUUAAAACUCAAAGAAAUUGACGGGGGCCCGCACAAGCGGUGGAGUAUGUGGCUCAAUUCGAUGCAACGCGAAGAACCUUACCAGGCCUUGACAUGCAUCUCUAAGUUGGUGAAAGCCAGCGAGUCCCGAAAGGGACAAUUUGCACAGGUGCUGCAUGGCUGUCGUCAGCUCGUGUCGUGAGAUGUUGGGUUAAGUCCCGCAACGAGCGCAACCCCUGUGAACUGUUGCCACCGAGCCGUGAGGCUCGAGCACUCUGUUCAGACUGCCCCGUUCUAACGGGGAGGAAGGUGGGGACGACGUCAAGUCAGUAUGGCCCUUACGGCCUGGGCUGCACACGUACUACAAUGCCCAGUACAGAACGAUCCGAGACCGCAAGGUGGAGGAAAUCACUAAAACUGGGCCCAGUUCAGAUUGAAGUCUGCAACUCGACUUCAUGAAGCCGGAAUCGCUAGUAAUGGCGCAUCAGCUACGGCGCCGUGAAUACGUUCCCGGGCCUUGUACACACCGCCCGUCACAUCAUGGAAGUCGCUUGUAGCCGAAGCCGGUGUGUAACCGCAAGGAGGCAGCCGUCUACGCUAUGAGCGGUAACUGGGAUGAAGUCGUAACAAGGUACCAAUCCCGCGG